UACGUAGGGCGCAAGCGUUGUCCGGAAUUAUUGGGCGUAAAGAGCUCGUAGGCGGUUUGUCGCGUCUGCUGUGAAAACCUAAGGCUCAACCUUGGGCUUGCAGUGGGUACGGGCAGACUAGAGUGCGGUAGGGGUGACUGGAAUUCCUGGUGUAGCGGUGGAAUGCGCAGAUAUCAGGAGGAACACCGAUGGCGAAGGCGGCAUCCUGGACCAAUACUGACGCUGAGGAGCGAAAGCCAGGGGAGCAAACGGG
rnacentral:rRNA from 1 species